CAUGCGGCGUCUUCCUGUCCUGCUCCUGUGUUUGGUCGGCUUGGUGUUUAAAGGAUCCUGCCUACCAGUGAGUCCAAACAUGGGUCCUGAUCAGCAUGGAGUGUCUGAAAAUGACAUUUCUAUGAAAAAGGCCAUCAUGCUUCUCCAGUCACUAGAUUCCAUGUUGAAGCAUAAUGCUAGAGAAGUGCAACUGGAAACCAAUGAAGUAGAAAAC